rnacentral:rRNA from 1 species
GCGGCGUGCCUAAUACAUGCAAGUAGAACGCACAGGAUGCACCGUAGUUUACUACACCGUAUUCUGAGAGUUGCGAACGGGUGAGUAACGCGUAGGUAACCUGCCUGGUAGCGGGGGAUAACUAUUGGAAACGAUAGCUAAUACCGCAUAAGAACAUUUACUGCAUGGUAGAUGUUUAAAAGGUGCAAAAGCAUCACUACCAGAUGGACCUGCGUUGUAUUAGCUAGUUGGUGAGGUAACGGCUCACCAAGGCAACGAUACAUAGCCGACCUGAGAGGGUGAUCGGCCACACUGGGACUGAGACACGGCCCAGACUCCUACGGGAGGCAGCAGUAGGGAAUCUUCGGCAAUGGGGGGAACCCUGACCGAGCAACGCCGCGUGAGUGAAGAAGGUUUUCGGAUCGUAAAGCUCUGUUGUUAAGGAAGAACGUGUGUGAGAGUGGAAAGUUGCACACAGUGACGGUACUCAACCAGAAAGGGACGGCUAACUACGUGCCAGCAGCCGCGGUAAUACGUAGGUCCCGAGCGUUGUCCGGAUUUAUUGGGCGUAAAGCGAGCGCAUGCGGUUAGAUAAGUCUGAAGUGAA